AGGCGAAGGCCUUCUUGCUCUGGGGAGGGCCGAGUCGUGGAACGCCAGCUUGGCGACGCCCCCGCACCGUCCCCGAAACGCGUGACGUGAGGGGCAACAGGGCCGUUUCUGGGAGGAAUUGUGCUACUCUGGUUAUAAAGAGAGAUGGUUGGUGCAGUUUCCUCACUUCUAAAUUUGGUAAUUCCGCUGUAUUUGGGAUUUUGACAAGUUUUCCACCUGCUAAGAGAAUAUUCUGAAGCCAGUGUGUUCCUAAACUGAGAGCUAACGGAAAAGGAAAUGCAAGAGACCAAUGAGAUCCUUGUCACAAGAAACAAAGGACACUGGGGAAAAAAAGAAGAGAAACUAUAGAAGCCAGAGAUGGCAGCAUUGACUUCCCUAAAAUCAUGUGGCAAAGGAAAAGCCUGUUCCAGCUCUUCUGUUAUUCCUUUGCCACUGUUCUGUAAGGAAGUCUUUGGAAAUAAAAACAAAAAUCACUAUCAUCUGACACAGAAAUAGAAAAGAUGCAUGCCUCCUCAAUUCCAAUGCCUGACCUUGUUGCCUGGUCCUUUUUUUGUCAUCUGACUGCUAUGAAUUGGUGCUUUUAGAAAUGUGAAAUUUCCUAUUUGAAAUUUGGUUCUGUUUGCCUAGAUGUGAAUAAAAGGUAGAGUUUGA